rnacentral:rRNA from 1 species
AGGAUGAACGCUGGCGGCGUGCUUAACACAUGCAAGUCGAACGAUGAAGGCUGGAGCUUGCUCUGGCUGGAUUAGUGGCGAACGGGUGAGUAACACGUGAGUAACCUGCCCCAGACUCUGGGAUAAGCGCUGGAAACGGCGUCUAAUACCGGAUACGAGCUUCCACCGCAUGGUGAGGAGUUGGAAAGAAUUUCGGUCUGGGAUGGACUCGCGGCCUAUCAGCUUGUUGGUGAGGUAAUGGCUCACCAAGGCGACGACGGGUAGCCGGCCUGAGAGGGUGACCGGCCACACUGGGACUGAGACACGGCCCAGACUCCUACGGAGCAGCAGUGGGGAAUAUGCACAAUGGCGCAAGCCUGAUACAGCAACGCCGCGUGAGGACGAAGGCUCGGUGUAA